UAGCCGUAAACGAUACUCGCUAGGUGUCGGCCACGGUGCGACCGUUGUCGGUGCCGUAGGGAAGCCGUGAAGCGAGCCACCUGGGAAGUACGGCCGCAAGGCUGAAGCUUAAAGGAAUUGGCGGGGGAGCACAACAACGGGUGGAGCUUGCGGUUUAAUUGGAUUCAACGCCGGAAAUACUUACCGGGACCGACAGCAACAUGAAGGCCAAGCUGAAGACUUUGCCGGAUUAGCUGAGAGGAGGUGCAUGGCGUAGUCGUGU
rnacentral:rRNA from 1 species